rnacentral:lncRNA from 10 species
ACUUUGGGAGGCCGAGCCGGGCGGAUCACGAGGUCGGGAGUUCGAGACCAGCCUGACCAACAUGAAACAGUAUUAUGUCUCAGUCCUGUGCAAAGUGAGAUGAGCUGUAGCCUUUGGAGACCUAUAAUUUUGAACAUAGAUGUUCCUUAAAAGCUAAAUCUUUUUGAACAGAUGAUGAUAAACCUGGAAGAGAUUCACCAACAAUAGCAAAUUACACACUGGCUUGGAAAGUACUCCCAUGUUCCGUUUGAUCUUGGCAAUUUAAUGCUGUUCUUGAAGACUAAUUAGUUACACUGGAUAUGCUGCUGUUCUUUACUUUGGGAUUGCUUAUACAUUUUGUGUUCUUCGCCUCCAUCUUUGACAUUUAUUUUACAUCUCCUUUGGUUCAUGGAAUGACUCCUCAGUUUACACCAUUGCCUCCUCCAGCGAGAAGAUUAGUGUUGUUUGUUGCUGAUGGCCUUCGAGCAGAUGCACUUUACGAAUUAGAUGAAAAUGGAAACUCUAGAGCACCGUUUAUUAGGAAUAUCAUAAUGCAUGAAGGCAGCUGGG